GUAGGUGAACCUGCGGAAGGAUCAUUAACACAAUACAUUUACCCAAAUGUAUUUUAACCCCCCUUCGCAAACUUGUUUCAUAUUGUUUUCCCGGAUUUGGAGAGGUCGUACGUAAAGUACGUGCUUUUUUAAAUCUGUGGUUUUCAAACCUUUAUAUAACCCCUUGAACUGUCUUUGACUGAAACUCUGAGCUAUGACAGCUUUUUUUAUAAAACCUGUCAUACCUCUGCCAUAUAUCAAACGCUGAACAACUCUUAGCAACGGAUAUCUUGGCUCUC
rnacentral:misc_RNA from 1 species